rnacentral:rRNA from 1 species
CCUACGGGAGGCAGCAGUGAGGAAUAUUGGUCAAUGGGCGGGAGCCUGAACCAGCCAAGCCGCGUGAGGGAAGAAGGUACAGCGUAUCGUAAACCUCUUUUGUCAGGGAACAAAGGCGGGGACUAGUCCCCGGAUGAGGGUACCUGAAGAAAAAGCAUCGGCUAACUCCGUGCCAGCAGCCGCGGUAAUACGGAGGAUGCGUGCGUUAUCGGGAUUGAUUGGGUUAAAAGGGUGCGCAGGGGGCCUGUUAAGUCAGCGGUAAAAGCCCGGGGCUCAACCCGGGCGAGCCGUUGAAAAUGGCGGGCUGGAGUUGGAGAGAAGUACGCGGAAUGCGCGGUGUAGCGGUGAAAUGCUUAGAGAUCGCGCAGAACCCCGAUUGCGAAGGCAGCGUACCGGCUCCACACUGACGCUGAGGCACGAAAGCGUGGGUAUCGAACAGGAUUAGAUACCCUAGUAGUC